rnacentral:rRNA from 1 species
UCGCCUGUUUAUCAAAAACAUGUCUUCUUGAAUAAAAUUUGAAGUCUGACCUGCCCACUGAAUUUAAUAUUUGAAGGGCCGCGGUAUUUUGACCGUGCAAAGGUAGCAUAAUCAUUAGUCUUUUAAUUGAAGGCUAGAAUGAAUGGUUGGACGAGGUAUUGACUGUCUCGGUGUGAUUGAGAAUAGAAUUUAACUUUUAAGUUAAAAGGCUUAACUGUUUUUAGAGGACGAGAAGACCCUAUAGAGCUUUAUAUUUUAAUAGUAUUAUUUAUUUAGGUAAAUUUUUAUAAUAAUUGGAAAAGUAUUUUGUUGGGGUGACAGGAAGAUAUAUAAAACUCUUUUUAGCUUAUUACAUUGAUGUAUGAAUUAUUGAUCCAUUAAUAUUGAUUAUAAGACUAAGUUACCUUAGGGAUAACAGCGUAAUCUUUUUCGAGAGUUCUUAUCGACAAAAAGGGUUGCGACCUCGAUGUUGGAUUAAGGGUAAUUUUGGGUGUAGAUGUUCAAAGUUUAGGUCUGUUCGACCUUUAAAUCCUUACAUGAUCUGAGUUCAAACCGGAGA